GUGCUUGCUUCGGCAGCACAUAUACUAAAACUGGAACAAUACAGAGAAAAUUAGCAAGGCCCCUGUAUUAAAAAUAAAAAAAUUCUAAAAAAAAGAUCUGAAAAUAU